AGUCGAACGGUAACAGGAAGCAGCUUGCUGCUUUGCUGACGAGUGGCGGACGGGUGAGUAAUGUCUGGGAAACUGCCUGAUGGAGGGGGAUAACUACUGGAAACGGUGGCUAAUACCGCAUAACGUCGCAAGACCAAAGAGGGGGACCUUCGGGCCUCUUGCCAUCAGAUGUGCCCAGAUGGGAUUAGCUUGUUGGUGAGGUAACGGCUCACCAAGGCGACGAUCCCUAGCUGGUCUGAGAGGAUGACCAGCCACACUGGAACUGAGACACGGUCCAGACUCCUACGGGAGGCAGCAGUGGGGAAUAUUGCACAAUGGGCGCAAGCCUGAUGCAGCCAUGCCGCGUGUAUGAAGAAGGCCUUCGGGUUGUAAAGUACUUUCAGCGGGGAGGAAGGUGUUGUGGUUAAUAACCGCAGCAAUUGACGUUACCCGCAGAAGAAGCACCGGCUAACUCCGUGCCAGCAGCCGCGGUAAUACGGAGGCUGCAAGCGUUAAUCGGAAUUACUGGGCGUAAAGCGCACGCAGGCGGUCUGUCAAGUCGGAUGUGAAAUCCCCGGGCUCAACCUGGGAACUGCAUUCGAAACUGGCAGGCUUGAGUCUUGUAGAGGGGGGUAGAAUUCCAGGUGUAGCGGUGAAAUGCGUAGAGAUCUGGAGGAAUACCGGUGGCGAAGGCGGCCCCCUGGACAAAGACUGACGCUCAGGUGCGAAAGCGUGGGGAGCAAACAGGAUUAGAUACCCUGGUAGUCCACGCCGUAAACGAUGUCUACUUGGAGGUUGUGCCCUUGAGGCGUGGCUUCCGGAGCUAACGCGUUAAGUAGACCGCCUGGGGAGUACGGCCGCAAGGUUAAAACUCAAAUGAAUUGACGGGGGCCCGCACAAGCGGUGGAGCAUGUGGUUUAAUUCGAUGCAACGCGAAGAACCUUACGUGGUCUUGACAUCCACAGAACUUUCCAGAGAUGGAUUGGUGCCUUCGGGAACUGUGAGACAGGUGCUGCAUGGCUGUCGUCAGCUCGUGUUGUGAAAUGUUGGGUUAAGUCCCGCAACGAGCGCAACCCUUAUCCUUUGUUGCCAGCGGUCCGGCCGGGAACUCAAAGGAGACUGCCAGUGAUAAACUGGAGGAAGGUGGGGAUGACGUCAAGUCAUCAUGGCCCUUACGACCAGGGCUACACACGUGCUACAAUGGCGCAUACAAAGAGAAGC
rnacentral:rRNA from 1 species